GUGAUUCUAUAAACUUCCCUAAAUGUCUUCAUCAACCAUGUGAAUUACCUGUUUCUCGAGGUUGAUUUCUACUUUUUUAGUUUUCUUACUCAUGUGGUCAGUUUUUCAGUUUUGAUCUCAUUCUAAAAUAGAUACAUGGUAACUGGUCAGAUAUAUUUUUAUAUAGCACAGGAUUCUUGACAGACAUGUCAAACUGAACUGACAUUUUGCCCAUUUUAAGUGCCUACAGACAUAGUGAAAUGGCCCUGUUCAUCUUCAUAAUAUUUUAUCUUAUACUGGAGGUUAAAUUGCAAGGUUUGGCCACCAUGUCGUCUUUGCCACCAGUCACAGAGGGCAGCCCAACUACAGUGAUUCCCAAUGGAACCUUACAAGUGAAUUUGUCCACUGCAUCAACAGUGAACACAACAUUUUUGGGUGUAACAUCCACUACUGAGUCUGAAAUCACAACAGACCUGAUAACCAAUAUGUCAAGUCCAAGUACCCAAGACAACCAUAGUUUAAAAGAUCCUGCAAAUGCAUCCUUAGAAUCGACUACACUUUCUGAUAAUACAGAACGUGCUUCAGUUUUCCCCUUGAUGACUAAAGGCCCUGAAAUCAGAAAGUACUCAAAUACAAAAAUGUUCUUCCUCAUUGCUGUGGUUGCAUCUGGUGGAGGAAUUGUACUGACUGGACUCGUGGGCACUUGUUUGUACAGAUAUACACGAAAGUCAAAGGUAGAGAGGAUUUGGAUCGAAUCGAGCAGCAAAAAACAGAAACAGGGACCAGUGGCCAGUUCAGACUCAUCUGGAGAGGAAGAUACAGUGCUUUACUCAACCAUCAACUUCAUUCAACCCCCCUCUCAACCACCAGGAAACAAUGAAGAAUCAAUUCAAAAUGAGGUUGAACUGAAUCAUUUGUAUUACACCGUCAUAACCAAACCGGCAAUCUCCAGUGACAGCAGGAGUGUUUACAGUCAGCUGAAGGUCCACUGAAAGAAUACAACUCUGCAUGCUGCUGUUUUAAUGCAGGCCAAAAUUGAUGCAUCUUAAUUUUAAACAUGCUUUAAUCCUCCAUAGCAAUGCCUUUUAUUGUAAAUGUUAAACUUCUGCUUUCUAAUUUCAAUGUUGUAACACCUUUCAAAACUGUGUCAUAAACUUUCUUUCUGAUUUCGGUUUACUUGUAUUUUCUGUAGAUUCACAUGAACAGAAUAACCACAUCAGAAGGCACACAGCAUGAAUAUGCAUACUUUUAAGCAAUAAUAAUUGUUAUUGUGAAUGGCAGUUGUAUAGAUCAACAUAAGGACAGUCAUAUUUCAUCCUGUUACUUGUGUGAAUAUUUUCACCUGAUGUUUAUUAUUUAAAGCGCCUCAUUUUUAUGUUUCUCUUUUUGUUCCUUUUGUACUUUUCCGCUGUUCCUCAAAGUUAUGUCUAAAAUCUCUUUGAAGCCUGGAGUAAUGGCUUCUGAAAAUCCCACUUUGUCAUCACAGGAAUAAAAUAUAUUCAAAUAGAAAACUGUUAUUUUGA
ensembl:lncRNA